rnacentral:rRNA from 1 species
GACAGAGGUGCCAAGCGUUAGGCGGAAUCACUGGGCUUAAAGCGUGUGUAGGCGGAUUCCUAAGUACCUUGUGAAAUCCCACGGCUCAACCUGGGAACUGCGUUUGAAACUACAAGGCUAGAGUGUGGCAGAGGGGGGUGGAAUUCCACGUGUAGCAGUGAAAUGCGUAGAGAUGUGGAGGGACACCGAUGGCGAAGGCAGCCCCCUGGGUUAACACUGACGCUCAGGCACGAAAGCGUGGGGAGCAAACAGG